CCCAAAGCUCCAACAGCUGUGUUUCCCGCUCGGAAGGAAAGAGACCAAAUAAAGCAGCAGGACGAAUUACGUGUGCAGAAAAGCGCAGCGUGGGAUUCCGAGUCCAAAGACUGCCAGAGACUUGCCACCCUUCAGCAUUACUCAGUGCCCCGGGAAGUGCUGGGGGUGGAGAGAUGGCAGGGGGCUGGGAGCGUAGGGCCUCGUUGCACCCAUCUCUCCAUUGGCUUCAGCGUGUUCCGUCUCGCAGCCGCAGCCCGGGAGGCAGGGAUGGGGCAUGCCAGGUGCCCUGGAGGGGCCGAGGCCGGGGUUGGGUUUCUAGGGAUCUGGGGCUGGAGCAGGAGUUUCCACCCAAGCCAUCAUGAGCUAUCAAGAACCACAGGGCCAGGAAAAGGACCACCAGGAAAGCCAAAUGCAGAGCCUCCAAACACGCAUCUCUGGCUGGGAAGCAUCAAGUGUUAUUAGGUUUGGGGGCGAAAAGAAGUCUCCAGCAAAAUAUUUCAAAAUCCAGAUUCAAGAGAGGCAACUCACAACUUAAAAAUUGCCCAGAUAUCUGCCCUCCGAGGAUCAGCAUUGCAAAAGUGGAUGUUAAAAGUCAGACGAGGAAAUGGAAAAGCAGCAGCUCAAGAACCAGACUGACGUGCAAAUGCUGCCAUCCGAUCCAAGGAGUGUGUGCCCCGGGAGCCGUCUGCCAGGCUUUGUUCAGGUCUGCCAUGGGGGGGGACAGUGCUGCUGCUGUUGUUAUCUGGUCAUCGGACACGAUCACUCACCACAUUCCCCAACGGGGCUUAUAGACAACAAAGGGGCCGAGGUAGUUUUCAAGGGCUGCGUGGCAACAGGGUGUCAUUCUUCCCAUAUAAAGGUGACGUUACUGGUCUGCAGUCCCGAGCAAGAAGCCUCAUCAAGCCCUGGAAAGGAAUUGGCAUGGAUCCUUCUCCAAGCUCCUCCCCCUGUAUCUCUCCAUUUGCCCCAAAACAGUGGGGCCCAUUUGCAGGUCAGCUGGAGAAAUGGAGAGGACAGCCCCAGACCUGAGAUGAAGAGAACAAUCCAGCAGGCAAGGGGAAGGAGCACACCUCGGCAGCACGGGGCCUGCGCCCCACCCGCAUCCACUGACUCUCCCUCACUGAGCUCUGGACUCAGCUGACGUUAGAUGGAAGCUGGGCCCCCAGUGAAGAGACUGAGGGGAGCAGGAGGUGAGAGGCUGCUCAGAGACAUUGGAGCGUGGGCAGAUGGAGAAAAUUCAGGGAGGACUGAAAAUGGUCCCCGUCUUCACACUAGCAGGCCUGGAUUCUGGGUUCCAGCGGCAGAACCUUGCCUUGAGGGCUAAGGUGACCAGAAAAGGGAGUAGUGGCCCCAGGGAGUGGAAGACAACCGCAGGAAGACAGAUGUGCAGGGCCAGGUGACUGAGAGGCAGGGAGGGGGAACAGGGUGGGGGGAAUGAAGAGGAGAGAUGGCAAAUACAAUGCAGCAAGUGUCCCACAGCCCCAAAUCUGUGCCCUGUGUCCACACACAUGUAUGGCUUCAUCGGGUCUUCCAGUCUGUGCCCACACAGCUCUAGGGGGCCCUUAAAUGCCAUGAUCUAUGCAAGUCACAGCCACUUGGGUUGUGCAGUGAACAGCCUGGGCAGCCCCUCGCCACACCCCUGGGACGCAUCCAUCCCCACUGGAUGCUCUCCUCCAACUCUAUCUCUUUCACCUUGGCAGCCUCCACCCUAACCUUGCCCCUGACAUUGAGACAAAGGUAUAGAAUGAUCACGAGAGACGUGGCAAAGCUCCAAGAAAGGUAAACGGCCCCCAAAGGCUCUUCUGAAACACCAAGCUCCAGGCCUGCUCUCUCUCCUAUUAAAGGGACUGCGGCCCCACAUU